UACGGAGGGUGCAAGCGUUAUCCGGAUUCACUGGGUUUAAAGGGUGCGUAGGCGGGCAGGUAAGUCCGUGGUGAAAUCUCCGAGCUUAACUCGGAAACUGCCAUGGAUACUAUUUGUCUUGAAUAUUGUGGAGGUGAGCGGAAUAUGUCAUGUAGCGGUGAAAUGCUUAGAUAUGACAUAGAACACCAAUUGCGAAGGCAGCUCGCUACACAAUGAUUGACGCUGAGGCACGAAAGCGUGGGGAUCAAACAGG
rnacentral:rRNA from 1 species